UUAGGCCAUUACCUACAGUUGAUGAGCUCCAAGAAAAGUUAAAUCAGUUAGGUCCUGUAGUAUGGGUCUAAUAAACA
rnacentral:hammerhead_ribozyme from 2 species